UAAAUCUUAAUCUAACCUAUGGCAUUCAUCAUUUACUGCAAAGACUACUUGGGUACCUAAUCCUGUUUGUGCUCUGUGCCUUCGUCCUUUAACGUCAGUUUUUACAUAGARGGCUGCCUUCGCCUUUACCGAGUCCCUUUGGUAUCAUAGAAUUUCAUCUCUCCUCCUCAAGUACKGCCCUCUUACAUAAAACUCUAGUCAAGUACUAACAUUUUAGAAGCUAUAUUGACCGUCUAGGUACYCUUUAAACCUAAUUAAGAUGAAUAACACUAGUCUCUUACGUAUUACCGCGACUGCUGGCACGCAAUUAGUCAAGACACGAUAUAUAUACUGUCAUUAUCAAUAUAU
rnacentral:rRNA from 1 species